rnacentral:rRNA from 1 species
UCCCGUUGAUCCUGCGGGAGAUCACUGCUAGCAGAUUUCGAUUUAGACAUGCAAGUCAAAGCAUCCGCUUGGCGGAAGGCUCAGUAACACGUCAACAAUCUACCCUAAGGCGGGGCAUAACUUCGGGAAACUGAAGGUAAUUCCCCAUAGGCUAUGGAUACUGGAAUGUUCCAUAACCGAAAGGCUUGCCACCUUAGGAUGAGUUGGCGGCGGAUUAGGUUGUUGGUAGGGUAAAGGCCUACCAAGCCGAAGAUCUGUACGGGGGAUGAGAGUCUUAGCCCGGAGAAGGACACUGAGACAAGGGUCCUAGCUCUAUGGAGUGCAGCAGUCGCGAAACCUCUACAAUGCGCGAAAGCGUGAUAGGGGGAAUCUGCGUGCUUUCGGAUAUUCUGAAAGCUUUUCUGGAGUGUAGAAAGCUCCGGGAAUAAGUGGUGGGUAAGACCGGUGCCAGCCGCCGCGGUAAUCCCGGCGCCACAAGCAGUGAUCACGAUUAUUGGGCCUAAAGCAUCCGUAGCCGGUUUAUUAAGUUUCUGGUGAAAUCCAACAGCUUAACUGUGGGGCGAGCCAGAAAUACUGGUAAACUUGAGACCGGGAGGAGUCAGAGGAAUUCCUUGGGGAGCGGUAAAAUGUUGUAAUCCAAGGAGGACCAUCAGUGGCGAAGGCGUCUGACGAGAACGGGUCUGACGGUGAGGGAUGAAAGCUAGGGGAGCAAACCGGCUUAGAUACCCGGGUAGUCCUAGCUGUAAACGCUGCUUGCCAGAUGUUGCAUUUUCUUCGUGAGAAUGCAGCGUCGUAACGAAGGUGUUAAGCAAGCCGCCUGGGAAGUACGGUCGCAAGGCUGAAACUUAAAGGAAUUGGCGGGGGAGCACACAAGGGGUGGAUGCUGCGGUUUAAUUGGAUUAUACGCCCGGAACCUUACCAGAGGCGACAGCAAGAUGAAGGUCAACCUGAAUGGUUUACUCGAUGCGCUGAGAGAUGGUGCAUGGCCGCUCGCAGCUCGUGCCGUAAGGUGUUCUGUUAAGUCAGACAACGAGCGAGACCUGUGUUUUCAGUUGCUAGUUUUCUUGUUUGAGAAGGCGCACACUGAAAAGACUGCUCUCGAAAGGGAGAGGAAGGUGCAGGCAACGGUAGGUCUGUAUGCCUCGAAUCCUCUGGGAUACACGCGGCAUCCAAUGGCAGGAACAAUGGGCCGCAACUCCGAAAGGAGAAGCUAAUCCUCUAUAUCCUGUCUCAAUUUGGAUUGAGGUCUGCAACUCGACCUCACGAAGCCGGAAUCCCUAGUAAUUGCACGUUAGCAUCGUGCAGUGAAUACGUCCCUGCUCCUUGCACACACUGCCUGUCAAGCCAACCGAGUUGGGUUUGGAUGAGGCUUGCUUUUAGGGGUAAGUCGAAUCUUGGCUCAGCAAGGCGGGCUAAGUCAACACAAGGUA